CUCUCCUUCCCGGACCUCUCCCCUGCCGUCCUGCAACGUGUCACUGCUUGCCUUUCUUCCAUCUCUGACUGGAUGUCCUUCCGCUUUCUGAAACUCAAUCUCUCUAAAACUGAGCUCCUUGUCUUUCCUCCUCCUAAUACUGAUCCUCCUCUUUCGCUCUCCCUUCAAGUUUGUGGUACCCACAUCAGUCCAUCCUUGCAAGCGCGCUGUCUUGGCAUCAUACUUGAUUCUGGCCUCA